CAAACGCCACAGCACCUUUUCCUCGCUCUUUCCUCUCUCCAUUUCUCAGCCUUCUUUCUUCAUUCUCAAAUUCUGAGUCUUAGAUUCUACUCAUAACAUACACUAGCAUUUUCCUCGCUCUUUCCCUCUCUCAACCAAACCGUACGCAGUAUUUUGUUCCUUUCUUCGAUUCGAUCCUCUCUCAUCAGAAACAUGGCGGAAUCGGUGGAGCUUCCAAAUCGGUUAGCAAUCCUUCCAUUCAGGAACAAGGUCCUUUUGCCUGAUGCCAUCAUUCGAAUUCGUUGCACUUCCCCAAGCAGGUUCACGAGCGUUAUGUUACGAGGCUGCGGAAGAAGUUGCAGCAUGAGGAGAGGAAACAAGCUAAUCAGAGAAGGGUGCUUUCUGAUUCUGAAACAGUCCGGUGGUUGAACCAUGCAGUUGAAAACAUAUGGCCUAUAUGUAUGGAACAGAUUGCUUCUCAGAAGAUUUUACUCCCUAUCAUACCUUGGUUAUUAGAGAAGUACAAACCUUGGACUGCUAAAGAAGCCGUUGUACAGCACCUAUACUUGGGAAAAAACCCACCUUUGUUUACUGAAAUAAGGGUACUUCACCCUUAUAAUGAUUUUUGGAAGAUCAACUUAAGUCAUUCCUUCAAAGAUUAUGAUAUCCGGUUCUGGAAGUAGACCCGGAUCAUGGAUUUCAGGAGCUCUCGCUCUUCCUGCUGGUUUCGACAAUAAAUUUUUUUUUUCAAACAUAAGACAUCCAUUUUUUGUUUCUAUUAUCUGGCAAAUGUAUUAAGUACAUAAAUGAAGACUGAAGACAAACAAAUACAUUAUGAAUUGCCAUGUCUUGUCUUGCAUACUUGUUUGACAACUACAAUUUAUUGUCGUAUAUUUCUCUUAAAUUGCAUGUUAUUGAGAAGGAGAUAAUGCCUCGGGAGUUUAAAAAUGCAAUAUUAGAGAAUCUGGUUUUGUUCUAUAAAAAUGCAAUUUUAGUAUGAAUCUACAGGUAUUCAUAUAUUAAAUGUUUCCUUUUAUUUUUCAAUUUGUAUGUCUUGCAGCUUACAUGCUCCAAGAUCAGGAGGUACAUGCUGUUGAGGAAGAAAGAUAGCAUCACAGUAAUGAACUCAUGGCAUUCAGUUUCACCCAAGGAAGAAAGAUGGGUUGCAUAUGAAUGAUGAUGAGGCUUCAAUCCCUAAUUGGAUCAAUACAACCUCUGCAUCCUUAAAGGCAUAAUCUACGGUGGCCAAUGUGGACGAGUGGAAAUGGAAGCUCAGAAUGCUGUUACGCAGUGAAAAGGACUAGAAGAUUGUAUCUAGAAAUAAAAAAGACAGGAGAGACUAAACAGAUAGCUAACCUUGCCAAAAGAAUGGGACUUUACAGGUUAAAAGAUACAUAUUUACAUAUGCAUCCCUCAAGAUUUUAGCCUCAGAUCAUGACAAGCUUCUGAAAAAAGUUAUCAAAGAAUAUUCUAUGAUCGUUAAGGAUCUUAUCAAAUAUUUGUCUUUGCCCAUUUUUAUAGUUACAAGGAUAUGAGGCUACUUGUAAAAAACAGGAUAACUUUCAAAUUUUG